AAGUCGUAACAAGGUUUCCGUAGGUGAACCUGCGGAAGGAUCAUUACAAUACGUUUCCACACGUAAACCAAACGUUGAACUGUACAAGCGUCCGAUAGGAAAUGGGGUUCAUGGGCCGGCGGCUUUGAGGUGGAUACACCAAACACAAAUCAAACUUCGGUUUGAAAGGUGAUCGAAAGUGCCUCGGUCGGUUCUUUUUCCGGUGUUGCUCGAGUUUCGCACUCGCAAAACGGAAAAGCCCUUUUCCUAGUUCGCGUAUUUAUCCAUUCAAACACUUUUGCAUCGCCUUUUUUUCCUUUUAACCCCUUUCACCUUUUUUACUUCAACAUUAUUGAACUGAUUUCGAGCUGCUUAACCGCGCUCGAUCAUUUUUACGAAACGUAAGAACAACUCUUAACAACGGAUAUCUUGGCUCUC
rnacentral:misc_RNA from 1 species